rnacentral:rRNA from 1 species
GAUUGCCGGGCUUCGGUCUUGCCUUCUGCCCUUCCCUUACUGAUUUUACCCAUGUCUUUUGCGUACUAUUUGUUUCCUUGGUGGGCUUGCCUGCCGAUAGGACAUCAUUAAACCUUUUGUAAUUGCAGUCAGCGUCAGAAAAACAUAAUAAUUACAACUUUCAACAACGGAUCUCUUGGUUCUGGCAUCGAUGAAGAACGCAGCGAAAUGCGAUAAGUAGUGUGAAUUGCAGAAUUCAGUGAAUCAUCGAAUCUUUGAACGCACAUUGCGCCCCUUGGUAUUCCAUGGGGCAUGCCUGUUCGAGCGUCAUUUGUACCCUCAAGCUCUGCUUGGUGUUGGGUGUUUGUCCCGCUUUUCGCGUGGACUCGCCUUAAAACAAUUGGCAGCCGGCAUAUUGGCCUGGAGCGCAGCACAAUUUGCGCCUCUUGUCAUGAUUGUUGGCAUCCAUCAAGACCAUUUUUUGCUCUUGACCUCGGAUCAGGUAGGGAUACCCGCUGAACUUAAGCAUAUCAAUA